GCCGGGGUAGUACGGAGGGGGGGGGGUGUGGCCGGAAUCCCUGGGCGUAAAGGGCUGGUAGGCGGCCUGGUAAGGUGGCGGUGAAAGCCGGGGGCUCAACCCCGGGUGGGCCGUGGCAACGGCUGGGCUGGAGCACAGUAGAGGCGGGUGGAAUUCCGGGUGUAGCGGUGGAAUGCGUAGAGAUCCGGAAGAACACCGGUGGCGAAGGCGGCCCGCUGGGCUGUGACUCUUCGGAGUCUUCAAGCUGACGCUGAGGCGCGACAGCGUGGGGAGCAAACAGGAUUAGAUACCCCAGUAGUC
rnacentral:rRNA from 1 species